CAAAGGGUCACAAGAUAAAUCUGAGGGAUUGUGAGAUGGUUAAUGGGAGAGGAAAGAAGAAAAAACAGUCCUAAAUGAAAAUAUGUGAGACGUUUAGAGUGGAAAUCACUAUUUUGUGGAACUGCUAACAUCUCAUAGACAUCUGAAGGGGCCACAACUAGACACUUUUUCAAAAAGGUUGGGAACAAUACUUAAAAUAAUACAAUAUGUUGUUAAUCUUUAACAGUGUGUUGUAUUUUAUAAACUUAUCAUAUGUUUUGUAUGUAAGAAUUUAAUCUGAAAAGUAACUAUAAAUAAAGCUGACAAAUAAAUAGAGUGGAGUAAAAAGUAUUAGGCCUAUAUUUCCUCCUGAAAUGUAGUGGAAUAGAAGUAUAAACUAGCAGUCACUCAGCACCACAGCAACCACCUUGGGCCCAAUGAAUAGUGCUAUAACAAGUAGCAAGUAGCCUUCUGUUAAACCAACUGUGACACAGAAAGUGAACAACAACACUGAUAGUUUUCCAUUAAAAGUCAAAUGACCAACAAGAGUUAGUAAAUUAAAGUCUCCUACAUUUAACAAACAAGCCACUACGUGAAUGUGUAUGUAUUUUGUUUGUAGAAAACUGAGGCAAUUCAUUGCAGCAGAGGGAAUG